CCUACGGGAGGCAGCAGUGAGGAAUAUUGGUCAAUGGGCGCGAGCCUGAACCAGCCAAGUAGCGUGAAGGAUGACUGCCCUACGGGUUGUAACCUUCUUUUAUAAAAGAAUAAAGUGAGGCCCGUGUGCCUUGUUGUAUGUACUUUAUGAAUAAGAAUCGGCUAACUCCGUGCCAGCAGCCGCGGUAAUACGGAGGAUCCGAGCGUUAUCCGGAUUUAUUGGGUUUAAAGGGAGCGUAGAUGGGUUGGUAAGUCAGUUGUGAAAGUUUGCGGCUCAACCGUAAAAUUGCAAUUGAUACUGGCAGUCUUGAGUACAGUGGAGGUAGGCGGAAUUAGUGGUGUAGCGGUGAAAUGCUUAGAUAGCACGAAGAACUCCGAUUGCGAAGGCAGCUUACUAAAAUGCCACUGACAUUGAUGCUCGAAAGUGUGGGUAUCAAACAGGAUUAGAUACCCGAGUAGUC
rnacentral:rRNA from 1 species